GCGGCCGAGCCCCGCCCACUCCAAGAUGGCGGGUGAGUGGGGCCGGGCUCUCGUGGCGCCCGACGCGCCCGCCCCCUCCUCACGAGAGCGCCCGGCCAGGCGCGCAGCAGCCCCCAGCAGCUCCUUAUGUGUGUGUCUCUUGGUUUUGAGGGAUGACCCUGCACUUUCUGGACUUGCAGGAUGACUUACAUGAUUGUUGGAUAGGCGAGUUUCCAAGGUUACGACUGACAGCCAAAUAUCCCCAAAGACUGAUAACACCAGGAAGAAAGAUGCUAAGGGCAAUUUCGUCUUUUGGAAAUUCACAUCCGCCAUUCACGCACAGACCCAGUCAGUUCACGUGGACUGUGUCUCCAGUUC